rnacentral:rRNA from 1 species
CAAUAGCGUAUAUUAAAGUUGUUGCAGUUAAAAAGCUCGUAGUUGGAUUUCUGAUUGAGACAUCAGGUCGGGUCCGAGAGGAUCAUGUACUUUGAUUUGUUUUGAUCAUCCUUGGGGAGAGCAAUUCUGGCAUUAAGUUGUCGGGGUUGGGAUCCUCAUCGUUUACUGUGAAAAAAUUAGAGUGUUCAAAGCAGGCCUCGGCCUCUGAAUACAUUAGCAUGGAAUAAUAAGAUAGGACUUUGGUGGUCUAUUUUGUUGGUUUGCACGCCAAAGUAAUGAUUAAUAGGGAUAGUUGGGGGUAUUCGUAUUCAAUUGUCAGAGGUGAAAUUCUUGGAUUUAUGGAAGACGAACUACUGCGAAAGCAUUUACCAAGGAUGUUUUCAUUAAUCAAGAACGAAAGUUAGGGGAUCGAAGACGAUUAGAUACCAU